rnacentral:lncRNA from 1 species
GAGGAUUUUAGCUGCGGAUCUAGAUCCAUUAGAAGGUGGUGACAUCCAUUUGGUCGGUUAUGACUAACCCUUAGAAGAAUAGCAUAGCGCAGCACAGCACAACAGAAACUAUCAGAAUGCAUCAAAUGUCACAAAGGCUCUCCUACCAGGAUGACAAAAAUCGGCAACUGAUGCUCCCAGAGGAGGACAAGAGGGACAUCCGGCAAUCUCCAAAGAGGGGUUUCCUCCGCUCUGCCUCACUAGGUCAAAGAGCCUCCUUCCACCUGGAAUGUCUGAAGUGACAGAAGGACCGAGGGGGAGACAUCUCUCAGAAGACAGUCCUGCCCUUGCAUCUGGUUCAUCAUCAGUUCAUGGAGGGACGUGUUCAGCUCACUCACCUACAGUGACCAGUGUGGUGGAGCCGCUGACAUCUCAAAGAUCUAUUUGGGAAGCCCCAGCUCCCUGUCCUCCCCAACACCUAGUGAGAAAGACGGUGCGUGGAAGGGAGUCCCAUGGGCAGAUGCUUACACGGCCUCUUUGCGAAGCUUCUUCUGGGUUUAACUUCAUUCAUCAAUUUAUUUUUAUGUCAAAGCAAUGAAACGUUUCUUUCUGGAGCCAGAUACCAAUAUAACAGGUGAACGGGUUUCUGCCACAUCUCUACAUUGACGGGGGAUGCUUGAACCACCUCCCCAGGACACACACCGUUAAGGCCCAAGGGCUGGGGUUGAGCUCUAGAUAAGGGAAUUGCCUACACCUGGAAGGGUGGACACUGCGUAGACAAACAUGGAGGGAGAACCAGAGUGACUUCCUUGUGUAAAAAAUUGACUUUCUUGGGGGAGACGAAAACCCAGAAAUAAUACAAGGUCAACACAUGCAAUACUAAAUUCAAUACUUACAUGCUAGCAAUAAAUAACUGGAAAUUUUAAA